AGAAGGGCUAGCCCGGAGACAGGAGGGGGAGGUCCGAGGAGGGGAUCCCGGCGAGGGAGACGCGGGGCGAGUGGCCUGGGCUCCUCCUUGGCUUGACCCAGCUUAGACUUUCUCAAACCGAAGUCAUUCUCGCUGGCUCCUGGCGACUCUCAUCCUGUCCGCUGUCACCCUUUCGUGAUUGACCUGAAAUCACUUCGUCACUGCAGCCGCACCCUAAGCAUUCAUCUCAUAUCUGUGAUGUUUGCUGUGCUCCUUAUGUUUGCUCUAAUAUGGGUUAAACCAAAUUCAACACCAUCAAAAUAAUGUUCUUCCAUUUGCACACCCACUUUCACAGUAGCAGCGUUCCCAACAGCCAAAAGGUGGGAGCAGCCCACGGGUCCACGGACGGGUGAAGGGGUGAGCAAACAGUCUAUACGGACAGUGGAGAGCUCUUUAACCGCAGAAAGAAGGAAAUUCUGCAUAUGCUGCAACAUGGAUGAAAGGUGAACCCUGACAUUAUGCGGAGUGCAAUAAGCUAGUCACAAAAAGACAAAUACUGUAGGAUUCCACUUACAUUCUGUGUCCAGAGUAGUCAAAUUCAGAGAGACAGGAAGUAGAAUAGUGGUUGCCAGGGGCUGGGAGGAGCCGUGAAUGGGGAGGUAUUGUUUAAUGGGUAUGGAGUUUCGGCUUAGAUUGAACUGUACGCUUUUUUUUUCCUUCCUUCCUUCCUUCCUUCCUUCCUUCCUUCCUUCCUUCCUUCCUUCCUCCCUCCCUGCCUCCUUUCUUCUUUCCUUCCUUCUUUCUUUUCCUUCCUUCCUUCCUCUUUUUCUCUUUCCCUCUUUCCCUCCUUUUUCUCUUUCUCUUUCCUUCCUUUCUUUCUUUUUCUUUCUUUCUUCCUUUCUUUCUCUUUCUUUUUCUUUCUCUUUCAUUCGUUUGUUCCCUCCCUUUCCUUCCUUCCUUUCUUUCUCUUUCUUUAUUUUUCUUUUCUUUCUUUCCAUUCCUCCCUUCCUCCUUCUUUCCCCUGACCAUGGCAAAGACGUGAACUGUACACUUAAGCAUGGUUUAAACGGUAAGUGUUAUGUGAUGUGCGUUUUACCACCAUGUUUGAAAAAGGUUCUUCUGUGCACCCCAGAACCCAUCCUGCGUGGGGAUCCACAGAGCGCCCAGCCCAGCCUCUGCAUGGCAUGACCAAGAGCAUUUGCUCACCGGGGGGCUCACCGUGGCCUGAGCUAGGGCAAAAGUACCAAGCCAGGAUGGCCCUACCCAGCCAGAGCCGGAGACUGAGGGGUCAAACUGGGGUACUUUCCUCGUCUGCAAGGAGAACUCAUAGCAGUCCUCUUUAAGGUUCUUUUUUUUUUUUUUUUUGAGACCAUGACUCACUCUGUCACCCAGCCUGGAGUGUAGUAGCGCCAUCUCAGCUCACUGCAACCUCUGCCUCCCGGGUUCAAGCGAUUCUCCUGCCUCUGCCUCAGCCUCUUGAGUAGCUGGGACUAUAGGCAUGCACCACCAUGCCCAGCUAAUUUUAGUAUUUUUGGUAGAUACUGGGAUUCACCAUGUUGGUCAGGCUGGUCUUGAACUCCUGACCUCAGGUGAUCUGCCCGCCUUGGCUUCCCAAAGUGCUGGGAUUACAGGCAUGAGCCAACGCGCCCGGCCCCUCUUUAAGGCUCUCAAGGGCCCUGUCUGCCAAGGAAGAAAAUGCCAUCCCAACCCCCAGCCCCACCCCCACUUCCAUACACACGUUGGCCUUAGUGGGGACUAAAAGCAGAGAGGAAAUGGAGGCUUAGAGAGGUCGAGUGACAUGCCCAAGGUCACACAGCCACAACCGGAAGCCAGCAAUUCCAAUGGCAAAAUCCAUACUCUCUCUAAAACUUUGCUUCUGAACUACAAGAAUGAGAGCCUGGCGAGUGCAGGCUAGGUUGAGGAGAAGCCACCGGACAGACACAGAACACCUUCCGGCGCACCAGCCUUCCGUGGCCAUUUGGAGUGGGAGGUGCAAAAUUGAGCAAAUGCAUAAAACCUAACUUUUGCAUCACACAAGGAUUCCCAUGUUGCAGGGGUACCGCGUAACACUCGCAUGGAGUUUUUUGGUUUGGGUUUUUUGUUUUGUUUUGUUUUUUUGUUUUGUUUUGUUUUGUUGAGACAGAGUUUUGCUCUUUUUUUUUUCUUUUUUUUUUUUUUGAGACGGAGUUUCGCUCUUGUUGCUCAGGCUGGAGUGCAGUGGCGUGAUCUCAGCUCACUACAACCUCUGCCUCCCGAGUUCAAGCGAUUCUCCUGCCUCAGCCUCCCAAGUAGCUGGGAUUACAGGCCUGCACCACCAGACCCAGCUAAUUUUGUAUUUUUAGUAGAGACGGGGUUUCACCAUGUUGGCCAGGCUUGUCUUGAACUCCCGACCUCAAGUGAUCUCCCUGUUUUGGCCUCCCAAAGUGCUAGGAUUACAGGCGUGAGCCACCACACCCAGCCUCACGUGGAUUUUUGAUAAAGCAAGGUUCUUCUGUGAUAGCAGCAGGCCUCCAUUAUCCUGGUCAAUUGGCCUGCACAACUAGGGAAACAAUGGUGGAAAACUUCGAGAAGCUUGUGUUCCACCUGCCACCAAUGGAGAAAGCACCACUCCACUGUGACAUGCUUCCUGAUGACUCGCUGAACAGAAGGAUGCACCCUCAGCCACCAAGGGUGUAGUUUGUGGGUGCCUCCUGGGAACAUCAGGUUGGCAACACAAAUGCCAGCCCCUCACCCUAGAGUGAUUUCAGAGUGUCUCAUCUCUUAACUCUGAGUCACAGAGCGGUGGGGAGGAAGACAUGGGGCAGGGCAGGGCAGGGCAGGGCUGGGCGUGGCGUGGCCACUCAUGGAGCAGAGGGAAGGGUGGAGAGGUGCACUCUGAGUUUGUUGCCUUCAUUUGCUUUGUUGAUGAAGGAGGAGCCUGAGGGGCCUGGCAGUGGGACUGAGGCUCUGGGCCUUCCUGCUCCCCUGGGUUUGACCCAGACUCCAGCUACCCAGGCAUUGCCAGGCAGUAUCCUGGGGAAAGGUGGGACCUGCUGCUUCCCACGCCUGCCCUGUGGGAUGGGGAGGGCUUGGGGAAGGUGCUGCUAUGCCCUGAGUCCCCGGAGCCAAAGACUCCCGAGGGUGACAAGCAGCCCUGCCCGACCUCAGGCCCAGGGGUGAUGGCUGUUGGUGGCUCCCAGGCUGAGUCACUGUAGCCUUCCCGUCACUCUCUCUGACACCCAGAGACUGGGUCCUGCCAUCCUGGGGUAAGGCAGGGGGCAGGAAGGUGCUUUCGAGAAUGUAGCCCUGGCCGGGCACAGUGGCUCACGCCUGUAAUCCCAGCACUUUGGGAGGCAGAGGUGGGCAGAUCACCUGAGGUCAGGAGUUUGAGACCAACCUGGCCAACAUGGUGAAACCACUAAAAAUACAACAUAUACUAAAUUACUAAAUAAAAAAAAUACUAAAUACAAAAAGUACUAAAAAUACAAAAAAGUAGCUGAGCGUGGUGGUGCACACCUGUAAUCCCAGCUGCUUCAGAGGCUCAGGCAGGAGAAUCGCUUGAACCUGGGAGGUAGAGGAUGCAGUGAGCUGAAAUCGUGCCACUGUACUCCAGUCUGGGAGACAGAGCGAGACUCUGUCUCAUAAAUAAAUAAAUAAUAAAUAAAUAAAUAAAUACGUAGCUGUGCCAGAGGCUUAGGGAACUGGGAGUGUCUUAGGGAACUGGGGACCUAGGAGGGGAGGCCACGUGGGUAGGGCUCCCACCCCACUCACUUCAACUGGACAUUCUCAGUUCAGGAAGUGAUUUUGUUAUUGUUGUUGUUGAGCUUCUGAGUAAAAUUUCCUGUGAAAAGGGGUUUAGCAGGCGGGCGCAGUGGCUCAAGCCUGUAAUCCUACCACUUUGAGAGGUCAAGGCAGGAGGAUCGCUUGAACCCAGGAGUUCAAGACCAGUCAGGGCAGCAUGGUGAAACCUUCUCUACAAAAAAAAAAAAAAAAAAAAAAAAAAAAAAAAAAUUAGCUGGGGGUUGUGGCGUGCACCUGUAGUCUCAGCUACUCGGGAGGCUGAGGUGGGAGGAUCACUUGAGCCCACGAGGUUGAGGCUGCAGUGAAUGGCAAUCACACCAUUGGACUACAACCUGGGUGAGAGAGUGAGACACUGUCUCAAAAAAACAAAAAUUAAAAAAAGAAAGAAAAAGGAGUUAACUACUAAAAAUCAUUUCUGGGCCAGGUGCAAUGGCAGAGUCCCAGCUACUCUGGAGGCUGA
rnacentral:lncRNA from 1 species